AGUCGAUUGAAGUAUCAUUCUUGGUGAAAACUUUGCUCUAGAAAUGUGUAGAGAAACAUAAUUGCAACAUGCAUAAAACUGAUAUCAUUUGUAAUCAACGAUAAAGGAAAUUAUUCAUUCGAUUGAAAGAUUUUGAUGCCCUUCGGUUGAACGUCUUAAAAAAGAGGAGUUGAUAUUUUAGAGAAAGAAUCGCUCUGUUGAGCUAUAUCGACUACUUCCUUGAGUCUUUGAAGAAAGGGAUAAUCAACAUGAGGAUUUGUCUAGUUAUCAUUCUACUAUUUCUGUUUUCAUUUAAUAUACUGGAAGCAACGAAAGGAAACAAUUGGAGGAUGUUACCCUAUCAUGACUACCACUCCGCUCAGGUGUACCUCAUAAACCACUACCUAGUGAAUGAUUCCAGGUAUUCCAAAUACGUUCGUCCCGUCAACACCGAAGACGCUAUUACUCAUGUCACCCUGAGCUUCCAUCUCGGUACUAUCAUAGACCUGGAUGAAUCAAGCCAAACAUUAACGGCUCACAUUGGCCUUUCAAUG